AAGUCGUAACAAGGUUUCCGUAGGUGAACCUGCGGAAGGAUCAUUCUUGAUAAUGUGUAGCUUAUGCUAUCAUUUAAAAUGUGCACUGUUAUCCGCCAUUUGGCGGCCGAAAGGUCGCCGUCUGGCUAUUUACAUUAAAUUUACCUGUAAAGAAAACUUUUUGUACCAGAAAACAUAAAAUCUUAUGACAACUUUUAGCAAUGGAUCUCUAGGCUCUC
rnacentral:misc_RNA from 1 species